GGGUUUGUAGUGUAGUGGUAUCGCGCUUCAUUUGGGUUGAAGAGGUCCCGCGUUCGAUCCGCGGCUGACCCC